rnacentral:rRNA from 1 species
UACGUAGGGGGCUAGCGUUGUCCGGAAUCAUUGGGCGUAAAGAGCGUGUAGGCGGUCCGGUAAGUCCGCUGUGAAAGUCGGGGGCUCAACCCUCGAAUGCCGGUGGAUACUGUCGGGCUAGAGUGCGGAAGAGGCGAGUGGAAUUCCUGGUGUAGCGGUGAAAUGCGCAGAUAUCAGGAGGAACACCAAUGGCGAAGGCAGCUCGCUGGGACGUUACUGACGCUGGAGACGCGAAAGCGUGGGGAGCAAACAGG